UACGGAGGGGCAAGCGUUGUUCGGAAUUAUUGGGCGUAAAGAGCGCGUAGGCGGCUUGGCAAGUGGAUGGUGAAAUCCCUCGGCUUAACCGAGGAACUGCCAUCCAGACUGCUUUGCUUGAGGCCGGGAGAGGUGAGUGGAAUUCCCAGUGUAGCGGUGAAAUGCGUAGAGAUGUGGGGGAACACCAGUGGCGAAGGCGGCUCUUGGUCUGUAACUGACGCUGAGGCGCGAAAGCGUGGGGAGCGAACAGG
rnacentral:rRNA from 1 species